rnacentral:rRNA from 1 species
UACGAAGGGGGCUAGCGUUGCUCGGAAUCACUGGGCGUAAAGCGCACGUAGGCGGAUUGCUAAGUCAGGGGUGAAAUCCUGGAGCUCAACUCCAGAACUGCCUUUGAUACUGGCGAUCUCGAGUUCGGGAGAGGUGAGUGGAACUGCGAGUGUAGAGGUGAAAUUCGUAGAUAUUCGCAAGAACACCAGUGGCGAAGGCGGCUCACUGGCCCGUUACUGACGCUGAGGCACGAAAGCGUGGGGAGCAAACAGGG